rnacentral:misc_RNA from 1 species
GAUGAAGAACGCAGCGAAAUGCGAUAAGUAAUGUGAAUUGCAGAAUUCAGUGAAUCAUCGAAUCUUUGAACGCGCAUUGCGACCCCUGGUAUUCCGGGGGGCAUGCCUGUUCGAGCGUCAUUUCACCACUCAAGCCUCGCUUGGUAUUGGGCAACGCGGUCCGCCGCGUGCCUCAAAUCGACCGGCUGGGUCUUCUGUCCCCUAAGCGUUGUGGAAACUAUUCGCUAAAGGGUGUUCGGGAGGCUACGCCGUAAAACAACCCCAUUUCUAAGGUUGACCUCGGAUCAGGUAGGGAUACCCGCUGAACUUAAGCAUAUCAAUAAGCGGAGGA